CCUACGGGUGGCAGCAGUGAGGAAUAUUGGUCAAUGGGCGCGAGCCUGAACCAGCCACGUAGCGUGAAGGAUGACUGUCCUACGGGUUGUAACCUCCUUUUAUAAAGGAAUAAAGUGAGGCACGUGUGCCUUUUUGUAUGUACUUUAUGAAUAAGGAACGGCUAACUCCGUGCCAGCAGCCGCGGUAAUACGGUGGAUACGUGCGUUGUCCGGAUUUAUUGGGUUUAACGGGAGCGUAGAUGGGUUGUUAAGUUAGUUGUGAAAGUUUGCGGCUUAAACGUAAGAUUGCAAUUGAUACUGGCAGUCUUGAGUACAGUUGAGGUAGGCGGAAUUCGUGGUGUAGCGGUGAAAUGCUUAGAUAUCACGAAGAACUCCGAUUGCGAAGGCAGCUUACUAAACUGCCACUGACAUUGAUGCUCGAAAGUGUGGGUAUCAAACAGGAUUAGAUACCCUUGUAGUC
rnacentral:rRNA from 1 species